rnacentral:misc_RNA from 1 species
GGGUACACGUGGUGAGCACUGCACCCAGCGCUUCGCUCGAACGAACGUUGAAUUCCAAGUCAAGUCUGGUUUGUGGUUGGUGCAACUUGGAAAACCUGGUCUAUGGUGGUGGUUCAUUUCCCGGAUGCCGAUAAGCAUCACGGAUCUGGGGCGGAUCCCCGGGGGGCUCCUGUUAUCGAUUACAAACCAUAAGGAGAAUCAGAGCGGGACUGGAAGCCGAAUACUCCUGUUUUCCCGAUCUCAUCUGAUACGCGCUGCUCCAGGUACGGUACCCGCCAGACAACGACGUACUCUAUUCAAAAUACAGCGCAAACGCGAUGUUCCUGCACCACGGCGCUAACGAUCCAUCUGCUUCUACGACGUGCAUGCAUACUUGCUUGCACCGAGCUUACCUGAGGAUGACCGGUUGGAGUCAUAUCGAGAGCGCCACGCACGACCUGAGCUGCUGCACUUUGGAGCUUGGCGAACAUGGCGGCAUGUCAUGAUCGGGCUCGCGUCUAAUGCCGUACUGGCGCGCCACAACAUACAUCCCGCUUCCUGGGCGGUAUCGAGCGCUUCGACAACCCGGGAUACGCAUGGUCAACGCUGUUGGAGACACGCAACGGUGCCGCACGUAAUGCAAAAAGCCUCCCGGCGCAUGUCGAAUCCUUGCAGCGAGGCACUCGAUCCCUGCCCGCGUCGACACCGGUGCACAGCGCACUCGUAGAGCGUCUCCAUGGUCAUAUAUGGCACGCCUGCGACGCAGUAGCGCUUCAGGCGUGGACGGGUGCAUAUCCCUGGAUCGUUGGCGCGCGUAGCCGCGUUCACCGGGUGCGAGGAAUAUGGUGUUCCGUUGCAAACGGUCGCCCGACUUUGUCUUACGGUGUUUAUCCAGACCUUGCGAGACAUCGAGAUAGAAUGUAUCGGUUGGCGACCGAGAUAACCAGUGACCCCAGAGUCGUGCGUGGUAAAUGCAACAUGGAACAAUUGCGGCAUCGAGCGGCGCUGGCUGGCCUCCCAGACCAUACGAGCAGCGACGCAGCAUGCGUAUGCGUCGCCACAUGGGUUCAGUGACGCACCCGGCAUAUCCUUUACCCGCAAGGAGUGACGAUAUCGUGAGAUCCGCGGGUUCUGGAGCCCCGGCCCCAGCCCUGUGAUCGCCGUGAAACAGAUGCAAGCAGCCGCUCGCCAAGUCGCAACGUCUCCCCAUCUAACCUACACAUAUUACGAGGCCGUCCGGGUUUGCUUUUGUGGUGACAGCACUCCGAUCGCUGACGAGUCGCUCAGGCUGGUACAACGACUGGUGCGGGCCGACUCGGGCCUCCUGUAAAGAAAUUGUCACAGAUGCGCGCACAACCUGACAAGCGGCGUCGUUGUGUCAUAACCAAUGAGCCCUGGUGCACGCCUCGAUAUCCCUAGCAUACGCUCAUCGCUGAGCAGCACCGCUCCAUAUCCUCGCUGCGUGAGACUCCGGUGCGCAGUGCCGAGCACGCGUUCGCAUGCAGUGAACUCGUUGAUGCGAGUUCGCGUCUCGAUCGCUGGACGAAACUCGCGCCGCACUGCGUCCUGUUGCGAGUCCGACUAUGCGCAAACACAUAAACAUAUGCGAACACGCAAA